rnacentral:rRNA from 1 species
AGGGUUUGAUCCUGGCUCAGGAUGAACGCUGGCGGCGUGCUUAACACAUGCAAGUCGAACGAACCUUCGGGUUAGUGGCGGACGGGUGAGUAACGCGUGAGAAUCUGCCCUCAGGAGGGGGAUAACGGUUGGAAACGACCGCUAAUACCCCAUAUGCCUAUUGGUGAAAUGAAUUUCGCCUGAGGAUGAGCUCGCGUCUGAUUAGCUAGUUGGUGAGGUAAUGGCUCACCAAGGCUUCGAUCAGUAGCUGGUCUGAGAGGAUGAUCAGCCACACUGGGACUGAGACACGGCCCAGACUCCUACGGGAGGCAGCAGUGGGGAAUUUUCCGCAAUGGGCGAAAGCCUGACGGAGCAACGCCGCGUGAGGGACGAAGGCCUCUGGGCUGUAAACCUCUUUUCUCAAGGAAGAAGAUAUGACGGUACUUGAGGAAUAAGCCACGGCUAAUUCCGUGCCAGCAGCCGCGGUAAUACGGGAGUGGCAAGCGUUAUCCGGAAUUAUUGGGCGUAAAGCGUCCGCAGGCGGCUUUUCAAGUCUGCUGUUAAAGCGUGGAGCUUAACUCCAUCAUGGCAGUGGAAACUGAAAGGCUUGAGUAUGGUAGGGGCAGAGGGAAUUCCCGGUGUAGCGGUGAAAUGCGUAGAUAUCGGGAAGAACACCAGUGGCGAAGGCGCUCUGCUGGGCCAUUACUGACGCUCAUGGACGAAAGCCAGGGGAGCGAAAGGGAUUAGAUACCCUCGUAGUCCAUGCCGUAAACGAUGUGUGUUAGACGUUGGAAAUUUAUUUUCAGUGUCGCAGCGAAAGCGAUAAACACACCGCCUGGGGAGUACGACCGCAAGGUUAAAACUCAAAUGAAUUGACGGGGACCCGCACAAGUAGUGGAGCAUGUGGUUUAAUUCGAAGAUACGCGCAGAACCUUACCAACACUUGACAUGUUCGUCGCGACUUUAAGAGAUUAAAGUUUUCGGUUCGGCCGGACGAAACACAGGUGCUGCAUGGCUGUCGUCAGCUCGUGUCGUGAGAUGUUGGGUUAAGUCCCGCAACGAGCGCAACCCUCACUUUUAGUUGCCAUCAUUUAGUUGGGCACUCUGAAAGAACUGCCAGUGAUAAGCUGGAGGAAGGUGGGGAUGACGUCAAGUCCUCAUGGCCCUUACGUGUUGGGCUACACACGUGCUACAAUGGUAUCUACAACAGGAAGCGAAACAGCGAUGUUGAGCAAAUCCUUAAAAGAUACCUCAGUUCGGAUUGCACUCUGCAACUCGAGUGCAUGAAGCUGGAAUUACUAGUAAUCGUGGAUCAGCGUGCCACGGUGAAUGCGUUCCCGGGUCUUGUACACACCGCCCGUCACACCAUGGGAGUUGGUUCUACCUUAAGGCAAGGUUUAAUACCCUUGACCACGGUAUAGUCAGCGACUGGGGUGAAGUCAUAACAAGGUAGCCGUA